UAGCUCAGUUGGUAGAGCAUGGUGUUUGCAAUGCCAGGGUUGUGGGUUCGAUUCCCAA
rfam:Salmo salar isolate Sally breed double haploid chromosome ssa03, whole genome shotgun sequence.